AUGAGAGUUUGAUCCUGGCUCAGGACGAACGCUGGCGGCGUGCCUAAUACAAGCAAGUCGAACGAUUCUUUUUCCACCGGAGCUUGCUCCACCGGAAAAAGAAGAGUGGCGAACGGGUGAGUAACACGUGGGUAACCUGCCCAUCAGAAGGGGAUAACACUUGGAAACAGGUGCUAAUACCGUAUAACAAUCAAAACCGCAUGGUUUUGAUUUGAAAGGCGCUUUCGGGUGUCGCUGAUGGAUGGACCCGCGGUGCAUUAGCUAGUUGGUGAGGUAACGGCUCACCAAGGCCACGAUGCAUAGC
rnacentral:rRNA from 1 species